rnacentral:rRNA from 1 species
UACGAAGGGUACAAGCGUUGUUCGGAAUUACUGGGCGUAAAGCGCGCGUAGGCGGACGCGUAAGUCGAUUGUGAAAGCCCUGGGCUUAACCUGGGAACUGCAGUCGAAACUGCGUGUCUUGAGUGCCUGAGAGGAUGGCGGAAUUCCCGGUGUAGUAGUGAAAUACGUAGAUAUCGGGAAGAACACCUGAGGCGAAGGCGGACUAUCUGGCGGUGCACUGACGCUGAGGCGCGAAAGCGUGGGGAGCAAACAGG